GUUUUUUAAGCUUCACACUUGUGUUUCCGCUGGGAAUAAUCCACCUUUAUAGUUGUCUUCUAUUUUAUUUUCUGUCUACUAUUCCUCAGUUAGAUCUGAGAAACAAAUUUCUUUUACCACGAAAUACCCUUUGACAAUUGCGUAUACGGAAUAUAUUUGCAUACUCAAAACACAACGGACCCUUCGUCAGUGAUCGUUGUGAAACUGCUAGACUCUUGUGCAUGCCUCGUGAAGUUAAACGCUUUGCAAAAGAAACUUCACUCCUCUACUCCCGAAACAAUGAAAGAGAAACCCGUCGUCAGAAUAAAAAAUAGUCAAUAUAAAUAAAAAGCUGAAUAUAUCUUCAAGCUUUGAAUAUUAGCCAAAUAAGGAUAAAGUGUAAUUGUGUUAAUCCCAGUUUUAUUUUUUGUUUGUUUUGAAAUCACUAUACUUUGACAGUCUGCAAAAAUCCCAACAAAAAUGAGGGCUGAAAUCAAAAUGUACAAACAAAUAAUAAUUGUUGUUGCACAGAAGAAAAGAAAAACUUGACGGUCUGAUGACCCUUUUCAAAGGGUCUUUACGGGUCUGUCAGACCCGACAACCAAAUGGAAAAAUUCUCUCCGUUUCUUCAUUACGAUUUUACACCACAACAAAUAUUUAAAAAAGAAUCUCUUGGCCUUAGUUUUACAUUUUGCCGUACACUGUAUAUCAAUUUUGUUUGGGAUGUUAAUAUAAUACAACAUUGAAGUUAAUAUUUACCAAUCAAUGAAUUGAAAGCAAAACUGUGAGAAUAUAUAUGAUCCGGGUGCAAGGAAAACGGACAGACAAAAACAAAAGGAAUAUAUUGAUACCGGCGGAAUAGCAUUGCGAGAAGCCGCAGCCAAUCGGAUAAGAGAGGAGUAUUUUAACUAGGUUCGGUUAAGAAUUGACUAGGAUGGGUAUUAAGUCGAGUGCGGAAGAGCAAAGCAGUCUAUGUGUACAUAAAGUGACAUAAAAGAGUUGUAAAAGGAAGUUUACGGAUGGUGGUGGCAGUGCUUGGAAACGUUGAAUAAUGUAUCUGUCAGGCAACGAUGGUAAACAAUACGUUAUUGUGAGCGCUACACCACAUUCGCCCACAUAAAACAGAAGCUGGGUCAUUUUUUCCUACUCAGCCCAGCUUCGUUUUUUUUUAAUUUUUAUUGUUUGCUAUUAGUAAACACAUUUGUUUUAUUAUUUUAUAAUACUGUGACCGCGUGUUUUACUACAUAUAUAUUUAUAUUACUUUACUGUUAUUACCAUAUAAGCCCGGGAAACUAUCAGUCCGAGACGAAGGGUUCCACUUAUAUGUCAACAAUAUACAGAUAAUUAUAUUACAUAAAACAAACGAAUUGAAAAAGCAAAGCAUUAAUAAUUUAUUAUAAUACUGUACAUUAGAAUGAAGUUUUUACAAAGGUUUUUAUGGUAAUUAGAAGUAUUUCAAAAAAAAACCCCGUCUAUCGUUUGUUUAAUCUUGACUCCAUUCUUUCAGCAAAUAUAUUAAUCAUAAAUUCAUUCAUUUUUUUUUUUCACAAAUUAUUUUCUACUUAAAAUUUUUCCAUUUUAUGUUGUAUCAUCACCUUAGAGAUAUGUGACAUUGUUUAUUAAAUUUUCUUUCUAUUUCAAAUAAUAAAAUCAUUUCUAAAUAUAAAACAAAAAAAAUCCUUCUUAUUUAUUAUGUA